UUAAAGUUUGAUUCUUGCUUAUUAUAUAUUGUGGUAAUAAAGAACAUAUUUAAAUUUUUGUAAGAUAUGAGCUAUUUAUUUAAAUGUUAUGUAGUGUUAGAUUGAUAGAUUAAUAAAAUCGAAGUGUAAGAUAUUAGUAUAAUGAUUGAAAAAUCGAAUUAGUAAUUGCUUUAAAUUCUGACCAAAAUUUGUGCCAGCAGUCGCGGUUAUACUUAGAGAGUAAAUAUAUAGAUAUUGAUUAAUAGUUAAGUGGAUAAUAUUAAAGAUUUAUUUUAAUUAGAUUAAUAAAAGGUGAAAUUAGUUUAUUGAAUAUUAUUUAAGAAAUUCUUUAUUAUAUGCUGAGGCUAUCUAACUUGUGAGGUAAACUAGGAUUAGAUACCCUAUUAUACACAAGCUUAAUAGUUAAAUAUCAGAUUAUUUUUAGUUAUGUUCUUAAAAAUCAAAGAACUUGGCGGUAAUUUAGUCUUGUUAGAGGAACCUGUUUUAUAAGUGAUAAUCCACGUAGUAUCUUGCUUAAUUUUGUGUAACAGUAUGUAUACCGUCAUUAUUAGAUAAUUCUUAUAGGAGUGAAUUAUUAAAAUAAUUAAUUUAUUAAUAUAUUAGAUCAAGGUGCAGCUAAUGAUUAAGUAAAAAUGGGUUACAAUAAUUUAUAGUUAAUAAUGGAUUAAUAAUAGAAUAGUUAUUAUGAAAGUGGAUUUAAUUGUAAUUUUUAUUUUAAUAUGGAGAGAUGAUAAAUAGCUCUAAAUUAUGUACAUAUCGCCCGUCGCUUUCACUACAAGGUGAAAUAAGUCGUAACAUAGUAGGUGUACUGGAAAGUGUACCUAG
rnacentral:ncRNA from 1 species